UGUGUUUACACGGGAGCUCUUAGUGGCGAACGGGUGAGUAACGCGUUGGUGACCUGCCCUAAAGAAGGGAACAACCUCGGGAAACUGAGGCUAAUACCCUAUGUGCUUCUAGAGAUUUGACGCUUUAGAAGUAAAGGUUCUAUGGACGAAAGACCAUAGCGCCGCUUUAGGAGGGGCCUGCGUACCAUCAGCUAGUUGGUAGGGUAAUGGCCUACCAAGGCGAUGACGGUUAGGGGACCUGAGAGGGUGACCCCCCACACUAGCACUGAAACACGGGCUAGACACCUACGGGUGGCAGCAGUAGGGAGUAUUGCACAAUCGACGAAAGUCUGAUGCAGCAACGCCGCGUGUGCGAUGAAGGCCUUCGGGUUGUAAAGCACUUUUCUGAGGGAAGAGAAAGGACGGUACCUCAGGAAUAAGUCUCGGCUAACUACGUGCCAGCAGCCGCGGUAAUACGUAGGAGGCGAGCGUUAUCCGGAUUUAUUGGGCGUAAAGCGCGUGCAGGUGGUUUGGUAAGUUGGGUAUGAAAUCUCCUGGCUUAACUAGGAGAGGUUGCUCAAAACUACCAGACUAGAGGACGAUAGAGGAAGGUGGAAUUCCCGGUGUAGUAGUGAAAUGCGUAGAUAUCGGGAGGAACACCAGUGGCGAAGGCGGCCUUCUGGGUCGUUCCUGACACUAAGACGCGAAAGCAUGGG
rnacentral:rRNA from 1 species